AGCUUUGUGCACUAGCAGUAUUGUAGCUAAUGGGGUUUAUCUGAGUCACAAUUACUGCUAAUUGAAAUAUUCAUUUUCAAUAAUG
ensembl:snRNA U4 U4 spliceosomal RNA